rnacentral:rRNA from 1 species
GACGAACGCUGGCGGCGUGCUUAACACAUGCAAGUCGAACGGAAAGGCCCUGCUUUUGUGGGGUGCUCGAGUGGCGAACGGGUGAGUAACACGUGAGUAACCUGCCCUUGACUUUGGGAUAACUUCAGGAAACUGGGGCUAAUACCGGAUAGGAGCUCCUGCUGCAUGGUGGGGGUUGGAAAGUUUCGGCGGUUGGGGAUGGACUCGCGGCUUAUCAGCUUGUUGGUGGGGUAGUGGCUUACCAAGGCUUUGACGGGUAGCCGGCCUGAGAGGGUGACCGGCGACACUGGGAGUGAGACACGGCCGAGACUGCUACGGGAGGCAGCAGGGGGGAAGCUUCGGCAAUGGACGAAGGGUGGACCGAGCAACGCCGCGUGAGUGAAGAAGGGUUUCGGAUCGUAAAGCUCUGUUGUAAGUCAAGAACGUGUGUGAGAGUGGAAAGUUCACACAGUGACGGUAGCUUACCAGAAAGGGACGGCUAACUACGUG